CCUACGGGGCGCAGCAGUGGGGAAUAUUGGGCAAUGGGCGCAAGCCUGACCCAGCAACGCCGCGUGAAGGAAGAAGGCUCUCGGGUUGUAAACUUCUUUUAUCAGGGACGAAGCAAGUGACGGUACCUGAUGAAUAAGCCACGGCUAACUACGUGCCAGCAGCCGCGGUAAUACGUAGGUGGCAAGCGUUAUCCGGAUUUACUGGGUGUAAAGGGCGUGUAGGCGGGAAAGCAAGUUAGAUGUGAAAACCAUGGGCUCAACCUGUGGCCUGCAUUUGAAACUGGUUUUCUUGAGUACUGGAGAGGCAGAUGGAAUUCCUAGUGUAGCGGUGAAAUGCGUAGAUAUUAGGAGGAACACCAGUGGCGAAGGCGGUCUGCUGGACAGCAACUGACGCUGAGGCGCGAAAGCGUGGGGAGCAAACAGGAUUAGAUACCCGGGUAGUC
rnacentral:rRNA from 1 species